rnacentral:rRNA from 1 species
UCCGGUCUUUGGAGCGUUGUCGAACCACCUCUUCCCAUCCCGAACAGAGUCGUGAAAGGCAGCAGCGGGGACGAUAGAGCCGAUUCUCAUCGGCUUGAAAAUACCUCAAGGCCGGAU